GAUGAACGCUGGCGGUGUGCCUAAUACAUGCAAGUCGAGCGAACAGACGAGGAGCUUACUCCUCUGACGUUAGCGGCGGACGGGUGAGUAACACGUGGAUAACCUACCUAUAAGACUGGGAUAACUUCGGGAAACCGGAGCUAAUACCGGAUAACAUGUUGAACCGCAUGGUUCAACAGUGAAAGACGGUCUUGCUGUCACUUAUAGAUGGAUCCGCGUCGCAUUAGCUAGUUGGUAAGGUAACGGCUUACCAAGGCAACGAUGCGUAGCCGACCUGAGAGGGUGAUCGGCCACACUGGAACUGAGACACGGUCCAGACUCCUACGGGAGGCAGCAGUAGGGAAUCUUCCGCAAUGGGCGAAAGCCUGACGGAGCAACGCCGCGUGAGUGAAGAAGGUCUUCGGAUCGUAAAACUCUGUUAUUAGGGAAGAACAAAUGUGUAAGUAACGAUGCACGUCUUGACGGUACCUAAUCAGAAAGCCACGGCUAACUACGUG
rnacentral:rRNA from 1 species